UACGGAGGGGGCUAGCGUUGUUCGGAAUUACUGGGCGUAAAGCGCGCGUAGGCGGCUUUGUAAGUUAGAGGUGAAAGCCCGGGGCUCAACCCCGGAAAUGCCUUUAAAACUGCAAAGCUAGAAUCAUGGAGAGGUGAGUGGAAUUCCGAGUGUAGAGGUGAAAUUCGUAGAUAUUCGGAAGAACACCAGUGGCGAAGGCGACUCACUGGACAUGUAUUGACGCUGAGGUGCGAAAGCGUGGGGAGCGAACAGG
rnacentral:rRNA from 1 species